rnacentral:rRNA from 1 species
CCUACGGGUGGCAGCAGUGGGGGAUAUUGCACAAUGGGGGGAACCCUGAUGCAGCGACGCCGCGUGAGCGAAGAAGUACCUCGGUAUGUAAAGCUCUAUCAGCAGGGAAGAAAAUGAUGGUACCUGACUAAGAAGCCCCGGCCAAAUACGUGCCAGCAGCCGCGGUAAUACGUAUGGUGCAAGCGUUAGCCGGAUUUACUGGGUGUAAAGGGAGCGCAGGCGGCUUGCCAAGUCUGGUGCGAAAUCCCGGGGCCAAACCCCGGCCCUGCAUUGGAUACUGGCGGGCUGGAGUGUCGGAGGGGCAGGCGGAAUUCAUGGUGUAGCGGUGAAAUGCGUAGAUAUUAGGAGGAACACCGGUGGCGAAGGCGGCCUGCUGGACGAUGACUGACGCUGAGGCUCGAAAGCGUGGGGAGCAAACAGGAUUAGAUACCCCUGUAGUC